GACGAACGCUGGCGGCGUGCCUAAUGCAUGCAAGUAGAACGCACAGUUUAUACCGUAGCUUGCUACACCAUAAACUGUGAGUUGCGAACGGGUGAGUAACGCGUAGGUAACCUGCCUGGUAGCGGGGGAUAACUAUUGGAAACGAUAGCUAAUACCGCAUAAUAUUAAUUAUUGCAUGAUAAUUGAUUGAAAGAUGCAAUUGCAUCACUACCAGAUGGACCUGCGUUGUAUUAGCUAGUAGGUGAGGUAACGGCUCACCUAGGCGACGAUACAUAGCCGACCUGAGAGGGUGAUCGGCCACACUGGGACUGAGACACGGCCCAGACUCCUACGGGAGGCAGCAGUAGGGAAUCUUCGGCAAUGGACGAAAGUCUGACCGAGCAACGCCGCGUGAGUGAAGAAGGUUUUCGGAUCGUAAAGCUCUGUUGUAAGAGAAGAACGGGUGUGAGAGUGGAAAGUUCACACUGUGACGGUAUCUUACCAGAAAGGGACGGCUAACUACGUG
rnacentral:rRNA from 1 species